GACGAACGCUGGCGGCGUGCUUAACACAUGCAAGUCGAACGGAAAGGCUCCAGCUUGCUGGCGUACUCGAGUGGCGAACGGGUGAGUAACACGUGGGUAAUCUGCCCUGCACUCUGGGAUAAGCCUGGGAAACUGGGUCUAAUACUAGAUAUGACCUUUCUCCUUAUGGGGUUUGGUGGAAAGUUUUUCGGUGUAGGAUGAGCCCGCGGCCUAUCAGCUUGUUGGUGGGGUGAUGGCCUACCAAGGCGACGACGGGUAGCCGGCCUGAGAGGGUGAUCGGCCACAUUGGGACUGAGAUACGGCCCAGACUCCUACGGGAGGCAGCAGUGGGGAAUAUUGCACAAUGGGCGGAAGCCUGAUGCAGCGACGCCGCGUGAGGGAUGACGGCCUUCGGGUUGUAAACCUCUUUCAGCAGGGACGAAGCGUAAGUGACGGUACCUGCAGAAGAAGCACCGGCUAACUAUGUG
rnacentral:rRNA from 1 species